rnacentral:tRNA from 1 species
GGAGAAAUGGCCAACGCACUACAGCGUCGCUCUCCCAGUACCCUGCCCUCCGAAGGCAGGGGUUGUUGGUUCGAUCCCAACCGGGCGCGCCA